UCGCUUUGAUGCAUCGCGCACGAAUAGGUAAGAAACCGAGGGGUCCCUUUCCUUUUUUUCCCUCCUUUUUUUCACCACUCGGAGGGAUGGAUCUCAAUUUGUCAAAGUCGAACACGAUUUUUCGUGUCACAGGCAAGAAUAUUCGAAUUAGAUUAAUAAUGCCCAAGCAGAAGUGAUCGUCCGCUUUAUACGCCCUGCAUAGCUAAAUCUAUUUUUGGACGAUCCGAGAUAAGACUUAUAAGGACCACGAGACUAGGAAACUCACAAUAAAGCGCCGUUUAAAACGGCUCUGGAUACGACAUCGCUUUUUCUUCGAGUUUACGUAUUAAUUAUAUGUUCCGCUUAUCGUGCAAAGGAAUGCAGUUUGAGUCGCUGGCAGAUAAAAGCCGAUUAUUCGCAUGCGACAGAGACGAUAGUUAGAUGCAUGUUACCGGUCCAGCCGCUGCCGUCACCGUUGGAGGCCGACAUCGCGGUCCGAGAACGAACCCGAAGGCUAUUUAUAGUAAGGAGCGGCUUCUAGUUCCCAUCGCGUGAAAAAUCGCGACUGGUUUCUUGCGAGUGCGAAUGGAAAGAGAAAGAAAGAUGGAAAGAAUGGCUGGCGUUUCAAGCAUGAGUCGCCGGCUGUACAUUAGCGGCUCUUUGCGAACAGUUUGAUGGAGCAUCAUCCGUAACCGCGGAUUAUUCAAACGGCAACUCUACAGUCAAAGGAGAGAGAUGUGUUACGCUAGAAAAGUGGCGGGAAGAAGAUGAAAGACCGGCAGUCAUACUGUUGCUCUCUGCGAUUGUCUGAACAUACUGAAUCAUGAGAAAAGACAGGAACCAAACUGUCCCCUCUAGCUAUUUCUGGAAAAAAAAUUUGUGUCUCGUAUUUUUUUAUAUUUGAUAUUGUCUA